rnacentral:rRNA from 1 species
UACAGAGGUCUCAAGCGUUGUUCGGAUUCAUUGGCCGUAAAGGGUGUGUAGGUGGCGCGCUAAGUCGGGUGUGAAAUUUCGGAGCUUAACUCCGAAACUGCAUUCGAUACUGGCGUGCUUGAGGACUGGAGAGGAGACUGGAAUUCAUGGUGUAGCAGUGAAAUGCGUAGAGAUCAUGAGGAAGACCAGUGGCGAAGGCGGGUCUCUGGACAGUUCCUGACACUGAGACACGAAGGCCAGGGGAGCAAACGGG